rnacentral:lncRNA from 1 species
CUUUUGGUGUGUAAAGGUUUCUUUCUUUUACCUCAGCAUCGGCCUUCAUUGAAGAGUGGUUUCCUAUCGAUGCCGGCGGUGGGCGGGGGGGGAAUCCGCUCCUUUAUUGAGUUCUUUCUUUCUGAUAUGGCCAGCUGGAUCACGAAGUCCUUGAGGCAGUUCAGGAGUGAGGCGUUUGAGACUGCUGCCCACUUUUCUGAAAUGCAGGAGCAGUCGCAAAGCUCUAGCACUGACUGCUCGAUGCAUAAGAGGAUAUUUUGUGAUGAGGCACUUCCAAAUAGCAAUGAUCCUGCGUCAGGUUUCCUAACUAGAUUCUUUGGUGAACUGUUCUUCAGCCAGCCAGAUACUUUAAUCACACUUGUUGAUGAAUCCAUAAAUCAAAGGUUUGAGAAAGCCAGUGAUCUUCAGCACCAGGUGCAUCCUGGAAGUCACAUAGACCCUGGGCAUCAUUAUACCUGCUGUCAGGAUGGAAGCCCAACCACCAAGGCAAGUAUGAACAUGAGGCACGUGAACCAUAAUUCCCAGAGUUCUCUGGCAUUUGUGGAGAGCACAGAUCUCUGCUAAACACACCCCCAUCCCUCCCAAAAGUUUUUAUGCUGUUAAGUGAAAUGGGGAAGAAUUUGC